AUGAAAGAUCAUGAUUGGUGUUUUGUCAAGGUUAUGAGUCUGAGUAAUUUCAAGGAUGAAAUGGCCAUACCAGAUGAGUUCACCACUAAUUUCAGAGGUCACAUUUCUGAUAAAGUCAAACUAGAAGUAGCAGAUGGCAACAUUUAUAAUGUUCAGGUUGCCAAGGAACAGGAUAAGUUUAUUCUUCGGUCAGGAUGGGUGGACUUCACCGGUGCUUAUGAACUUCAACAGUAUGACUCCCUGUUCUUUAUAUAUAGUGGGGACUCCCACUUCAAAGUUCGAAUCUUAAAACCAAGUGGUUGCGAGAAAGCGUCGUCAUGUGUUACAAUGAGCUGUGGUCCUAAUGUCCAAGAAAGGGUCAUUUGUCAUGCUCUAUCACUACCUAGCAUAAAAAGAUGUAGAAAUGACAAUUGGACGGACAAUUCGAAAACUGCAAAGGUUACUCCAACGGACUCACCUUCACAGAAAUCAAGUUCAGAAAUGAACACACAAGAUGUCACAUCUUCAAAAUAUAUUCCGGAACCAAGAAGUUCAGGUGGCCUUCCAGGGUCCACUGAAUCACGGCACAUCUUAGAAAAGGGCUGUAUACUGACUAGCGCUCAGAAGACAAGAGUCGACACAUUUGUGAAGGAAAGUUGGACUGGAAUCCAAUUUUAUGUCACAGUCAUGAACGAGAAAAGUCUGUCUGAUGGAUGUCUGGUCAUCUGCAAGGAUUUUGCAGCCAAACAUCUUCCGCACCAAGACCAGACGAUCAAACUCUGUUAUCCUCAGAACAGCAAAACAUGGGAUGCCAGUUUGAAGGUUAUCACUGAUGGAGCAUGCACCCGUUCAUGCAUCCUUGCUGCUGGUUGGCUGGACUUUGUACGCGACAACAACUUGCGGGAAGGCGAUAUCUGCGCAUUCGAAGUGUCAAAGGACCAUGAUAGAGUGAUAAUAACAGUCCACCUCUUAAAGAAUGUCGUCGUAGCAGGACAUACCAAAUCAACCAGCCAGCAGCAGAAGAAAUGGACUCACACAGGCUAUGUGGUUACAAAAUACACCAAACUGACUUGCAAGCAGAAGAGAAAAAUCGAAGAGAGGAUCCAGGCUAUUAGACCUGAAACAAGAAUAUUUGUGUCCAUCAUCUAUAGCAGCCGUAAAGCUGCUGCCUUGUGA
rnacentral:rRNA from 1 species